UAAACAUGUACAUUAAUGACCCUGAAGUACCAAAGGAGGUUAUAGAUAAAAUUUGUUGUACUUGUUAUCAGAGAAUUGGAUCUGGAAUUCAACAUCCCUGUAAUAAGAGAGACAUUGUACAGAACCUAAAAACACUGCUAAUGUCAACAGGUUUAAAAACAGUUGAGCAAGUACUUAGCAAAUCUGUGAAAGAAAUUCAACAAUUUAAAAAUAUUGAGUUAGACAACACUAGUUACAUUGUCGACUAGAGGAACUCCUUUAAGUCUGCAGAUAGGGAAAAAGCCAACCCUUAAAACUAUCUCUACCCAAACUUUCUAUAAUAUCAAAAGAAAGCAUGAUAUGUCAGACUGUACUAUUGAUUUAAUAGCAAUGGAAUUAAGAAAAGAUUUGCUUAGAUUAGGUGUGGAAUCUAAUUCUUCCAAAAAAAUUAAGAUAAUGUCACAUGCCUUAGAUAACUAUUACUCAGUGGAAAAAGUGGAAUUUCUAUCCAAAAAUAAAGUUAA